GGGGGGGAAUGGACCGGGCGCGGCGGCCGCAGCGGCCGGAGCCGGCGCUUGAGCUCGAGCGAAGGCGCUGGCGGAGACGCCGGCUGCUCCUCCCCUCCCCGCCGGUUUUCCUAAGAGGAGUUCUGCACACCCUAGAAGUACUUAAGGAAGAAUAAUGAAGAUAGGCAUGAAGCCUUCGUCUCACAGCUGCAUGCAUAGUCACUGCUGAAGCAAAUGCCUACCUAAUUUGACAGUCUUGGUGUGUUUAAAAAUUUUGAGUUUGCAAAUAAGCAUAUUAAGUCUGCUGAUGGAGCCGUCAGGCAGUGAACAGUUUUAUGAGGACCCUGAUCCUGGAGGCAGAUCCCAAGAUGCAGAGGCCAGAAAGCAGACAGAUUCAGAACAAAAGUUAUCUAAAAUGACCCACAAUGCUUUGGAGAACAUUAAUGUGAUUGGCCAAGGCUUGAAGCAUCUCUUCCAGCACCAGCGCAGGAGGUCAUCAGUGUCUCCACAUGAUGUGCAGCAAAUUCAGGCAGAUCCAGAACCUGAAAUGGAUCUGGAAAGCCAGAACACAUGUGCUGAGAUUGAUGGUGUCCCCACCCACCCCACAGCUCUGAAUCGUGUUCUGCAGCAGAUUCGAGUACCACCCAAGAUGAAGAGAGGGACAAGCUUGCAUAGUAGGCGGGGCAAGCCAGAGGCCCCAAAGGGAAGUCCUCAGAUCAACAGGAAGUCUGGUCAGGAGAUGGCACCUGUUAUACAGUCAGGCCGACCCAGAUCUUCAUCCACGACUGAUGCUCCUACCAGCUCUGCUGUGAUGGAAAUAGCUUGUGCAGCUGCUGCAUGUCUACCAGGAGAGGAAGCAACUGCAGAACGAAUCGAACGGUUGGAAGUAAGCAGCCUCGCCCAGACUUCCAGUGCGGUGGCCUCUAGCACCGAUGGCAGCAUCCACACAGAGUCUGUGGAUGGAGUACCAGACCCUCAGCGUACAAAGGCUGCCAUUGCUCACCUGCAACAGAAGAUCCUAAAGCUCACAGAACAGAUCAAGAUUGCACAAACAGCCCGGGAUGACAACGUUGCUGAAUACUUGAAGCUUGCCAACAGCGCAGACAAGCAGCAGGCUGCCCGCAUCAAACAGGUCUUUGAAAAGAAGAACCAGAAAUCUGCCCAAACCAUCCUCCAGCUACAGAAGAAGCUUGAGCACUACCACCGGAAGCUCAGAGAGGUAGAACAGAAUGGGAUCCCCCGACAGCCAAAGGAUGUCUUCAGGGACAUGCAUCAGGGUCUGAAGGAUGUGGGAGCCAAGGUGACAGGCUUCAGUGAAGGUGUGGUGGAUAGUGUCAAAGGUGGCUUUUCCAGCUUUUCCCAGGCCACACAUUCAGCAGCAGGAGCUGUGGUCUCAAAACCCAGGGAGAUUGCCUCACUGAUUCGAAACAAAUUUGGCAGUGCAGACAAUAUCCCCAACCUGAAGGACUCUUUAGAGGAGGGACAAGUGGAUGAUGGGGGCAAGGCUUUGGGGGUGAUUUCAAACUUUCAGUCAAGCCCAAAAUAUGGUAGUGAGGAAGAUUGUUCUAGUGCCACUUCAGGAUCAGUGGGAGCCAACAGCACCACUGGAGGCAUUGGUGUAGGAGCGUCCAGCUCCAAAACAAACACUUUGGACAUGCAGAGCUCGGGAUUUGAUGCACUGCUACAUGAGGUCCAGGAGAUCCGGGAAACCCAGGCAAGACUCGAGGAAUCUUUUGAGACCCUCAAGGAACAUUAUCAAAGGGACUAUUCCUUAAUCAUGCAGACCUUACAGGAGGAGCGAUAUAGAUGUGAGCGAUUAGAAGAACAGCUAAAUGACCUAACAGAACUGCACCAGAAUGAAAUCUUGAACUUAAAGCAGGAAUUGGCCAGCAUGGAAGAGAAAAUUGCGUACCAGUCCUAUGAGCGGGCCCGGGACACCCAGGAGGCCCUGGAGGCAUGCCAGACCCGCAUCUCCAAGAUGGAGCUGCAGCAGCAGCAGCAGCAGGUGGUACAGCUGGAAGGGCUGGAGAAUGCCACUGCCCGGAACCUUCUGGGCAAACUCAUCAACAUCCUCCUGGCCGUCAUGGCCGUCCUUUUAGUGUUUGUGUCCACAGUCGCCAACUGUGUGGUCCCCCUCAUGAAGACUCGCAACAGGACGUUCAGCACUUUAUUCCUUGUGCUUUUCGGUGCCUUUCUCUGGAAGCACUGGGAUGCGCUCUUCAGCUACGUGGCCCGGCUCUUCUCCCCCCCCAGAUGAUGCUGCUCAGGGCUCCCCCCUGGAGCGUGCAGCACCCACGCUGACCUGUCCCACCACAAGAGCGUUGAGUGAAUCUGUUUACAUUAGAAUAACAUUCUUUUCUUCAAGAGACGCAAUUGCAAUAGUAUUUUUUAGAUUUUAUCCAAGAAGUUUUUUGGGCGAAAUCUUGGAUCAUUUUUAUGUAGCAUGAUUUUCCUUGGGAUGCAAAUCUUAAACAGUCCUUUAACAUGAACCAACAAUCGGGAGCACACUGAAGGGCAUUCUAAAUUGUGGCUUGAAGGACUGCACUAAAACCCACUAAAAAGAUGCAAAGACCUAACUAGGGCACACCAGUGACACCUAACACCCAGCCCUGUCUGGGCUCACGCCAUGCUUCCCUGUCCCAGACUAACUCUACUGUGAAGUCCUACCACAUUCCAGGUCUGAAUUUUUGGAUUCAGGGUGGACUUUCCCUCAUCUGUGGAAGAACACGUGGAUCUCCCUGGCUUUCUCACCCGUUGGCCAUUCAUGCUAACACUGGAAGUCUGAUCCCUUCUGGACCUGGUCCCUUAAACUUUGCCAGGAUACGGAAGGGAGAGCGUCUCGCCCGCAGGACCGCUGCACGGCCCUCACAGUGAUUCUUCUAACGAGCAGAAAAGGAAAGGUCAGGUUAGAAGGAUCCAGGUUUUGGGUGCACACUGUUGCCAGCUUCCUGUUAACCUAGACUGACUGACUAACCUGAUAUGCGCAGUGGACUUGUAUGGGCAGUUGAGAAAGAUGAACAGAGCUUGCUUCCCCAUCCUGAAUACAGUUCGGUCAUCCUGGUGGAACUUGAACUUUCAUAGCUUACCUAGAGAGCUUGGUUAAUGUUUCCGUGUGACUUAAGAGUAUUGGUUCUCUCCUGGCCUCUCUCUGUACUGCUGUGGUGCACAGAGGGCAUGUGCUGUGUCCUGAAACCCCACUAGGACCUUCUUUUGGAACUACAGUAGCAUUGCCCUGUCUGCCAGGAUGGUCACCUUAUAGCUCCAACCUCCUUUCACUUUGCUGAGCUGGCCCUCUUAAGUCAGCGUGCUGUCUCCAUACCCACUUGAUAUUUUAACUCAGGUACCCCAGUCUUCACCCCAUCCCCAGAUGACUGUCAUUCACCUCACUAUUACACCCACAGCAGGGACCACAGGGAUGAUUUUUCUUUUUAAAAACUCAUUAGGACCCAUUCGUGUUCAUGCCAAAACAAAUUAUCCCUGUGAGCCUAUAUACUUAAAAUGUAUAACUUUGCCUAAAAAUAUUGCAGUGACUUCAGGCAGAAGUGCCAAAGGACACAAUGACCUUGCAAACUAGCCAUUGCUGCUGUAGCUUAGUCAUUUGGUGCAGAAGAGAACCCCCUAAGGUUACUGGGAAGAUGCUCCACUAAGUCUGUGGUUUUUCUAAGGUGGAACUUUUGAGUCUCCUACUGCAUGCAGACUUACUAAGUUUUGCAGGCACUGGAUGUCACUGUGAUAGAUGGGUCGAAAUUAAUCCCUUUUGCCUUGAGACAGUUUGUAUCAAAGGAAGGAUCUCACCUCUGGAAAGCCCCUGGAGCUCCAGCCAAACAUACCCACACUGACUUUCCAUCUUCCUCUCAAACUGUCUUGGGAAAGCCUUUCAGUGCAGGUCAGGCACAGUCAGCUUUCUUGCUCAUUUGUCUCCAGUCACUCACCAGGCCCAACAGUUGUCUGUAUUUACUGCUCUUGGUAACAUACUACUGUUCUCAUGCCUGCCUGUAUGUUUUGCUGCCUGUCCCUGUUGCCUUUGCGUUUCUUUGCAUUGUGGCUGUUCUUGGACUUUUGUCUGUUCAAAAAGCACUUCUGUAACCCUGCUCUUACAGUUUAACAGUUCUGAGAGGAACAUACCCUCACUCUCAUGCUUCUUCUCUUUGAAAAAAGGACUGUGUGCUUUCCCUGUGAAAUGAAGCAUUUCUUCACUACUUGUUCAUGCUGGUGCCUAGCCUGGGUGAGUGAGGCUGGCUGUGCUGGCCUGGGUGACUCUGCUCAGGUUGUAGAAUGGCCAUUGUUCUAUAUUGUUCAUGGUAAUUGAAGGGCUGUCUGCUCCAAUUUCAGUACCUUGGUAUACUCAGUGCAUCCUUAAGAUGGAAAAGCAGGUUAAAUUUUGUACAUUACUGACUGGGUGGGGGUUCUUCUCUCUCCCAUGUCCCAAUUGGAGUAAAAAUCCGAUGCCAAGAAGAACUGUGGAAUCAAGCCUUCCUUGCUGGCUGUGUCCUAAAAUUAAGAGUAUUUCCAUGUGGUCUUCACUGCAUUUGGUUUUGUUUCUGAUUUGAUGUUCCUUUGAGGUACAGUCAGAGGAAAUGCUGGAUUCCAAGUGAGUUCCAAUGAGGAGCUGCCUUUCAGCUUUGGAAAAUCUGCAUUCAAAAUCAAAUCUUAUAAUCAUCAAACUGACACAGGCAAAAUUACAGUUCCCACACCAUCACCCUCAACGAAACCUGGGAUUUUGAAUGUGACUCCAAGAGUUAACAUUUCUGUCUGUGUGUUGUGUAUGCUAGGUGACACCCUCAGUAGGGAUUGACUACUAGACUGUACGUGUGCUUUAUCAAAGUGUGUAAGAAUAAAAACUCACAUGCACGAACUGAAAAGUAAGAAACGACACUUGUGAAUGCGUGAACAUUAACACUGUAGUUGAUAGAUCUUAAGCUGCUAAUUGUUGAGAGAGAAUUAAAUUUAUGUGCUGUCUGGUAGCUGCUGAUUCUCAGCAGCACUUUUACUGUACAUAUAAAUUGAAAUAAAGACCUCAGCUAUUAACUCGGUGAUUGGACUCAGGUUUGUUUUGCUCUUUAUUUUUGCGUAUUGUUUCCAGUGGCAAGUGCAUCAGUCUGAAACCUGCCCACUGGUUGUUCACUGCAAAGUGUGUGUAUGUGUGUAUUUUCAGGUGUCCCAAAGCCAUAAUGGCAACUGGGCAGUGGCUACAACCGCCCUGGAUUUAAUAAACAUCAUUUCAGAUGGGCACUUUACCCAUAAUUCAUUUAGAACAGUAGAUGAGACUGAUUUUCAUUUCUUUCCAUGGGCAUUCAGGCAGUGCCCCCAAAUCUAAUGACUCCAAAAUGGGCAUCAUAAUCCCUCUGUACUUCCAAGGUUUUGCGAAAAUUAUUACUGAUGUGUGGAAACAUUCUUUGUCAGCCAUCUUAACAUUUGAUGUUCCUAUGUGUGUGUAAAGACAGUCUAAGCCUAUCUGUGGUUUUUUAAAGAAUUUCUUUUUUUGCAGCUCUGGAGAUGGAACCCAGGGCCUUGCACGUGCUAACCACACCCCACCCCAAGAUAUAGUAAUUUGUGUUAGGAUUUCUCCCUCAUGAACCCUGGAAGUCCAGAAGCUCUGAACUUGCCUGUGACAGUGCAUCAGACAGGCUCUGAUGACUCCACAACCCAGUGUGAAUGUCAGAACCCCAGUCUAGUUUACUAGCUCUGCAUCUCUUACCCCAUCUAUAAACUAGUGAGGUGAGAGCUUUAAAACUAAAAAAUGCAUGGCUCACCUGGAGGAUUCUGGUGUAUUAUUUUUAAAUUCCAUGGGCCAAAGAACACCAGCUACACUUGUAACUUUGCAUCUGUGUAGUUAGUGAAGAUCAGCUCAGUACUUAGUACCAGGCACGUGCAGUUACCUCAGCUAGUUCUCCUUGCAGUCACUGUGAAGGUAAGGGAACUGAAGCUUGGCUGCCCAAGCCAGGUGUGGUGGGGCAUACUUGUAAUCCCAGCACUCGUGAACUAAGACAGGAGGGUCACCAAGUACAAGGUCAGCCUGGCUACAUAUUGGGACCCUGUCUUAAAACACCAAGGGCUGGGAAUGUGGCUUGUCUAACGUGCAAGGCACCGGGAUCCAUCCCCAGGACACAGUAGAAAAUGGGUGCCUAUAACACCUGACUGUCAGAGUAUAAGCCAAGAAAUAUCCCAGGAAAAUCGUUCACAGAAAAAUAGAUAUCCAGUCAACAUUCCAGAAAAAUGUUCAGCUUCCUGU